rnacentral:rRNA from 1 species
AAACAUAGUAUAUAGACUUUAUUAUAUAUGGGAUUUGGUCAAUGAAAAAGAAAAUAAUAAUUUUCUUUUUUUAAUUCAUGCCUUACUUCGAGGAGGGUAAUAAAGUAGCAUAAUAAUUUGAUAUUUAAUUGAUGUCUAGAAUGAAUAGUGAAACGAUUAUAAAAUUGUCUUGAAAAUAAAAAAAAAAUUAAAUUAAUAGUUAAGAUUCUAUUAUAAAAAGGAAAGACGAUAAGACCCUAUAAAUCUUUACUAAAUUUUAUAAUUUCUUUUUUACAAAAAUUUAUAAAUAGUUAGUUUAGCUGGGGCAGCUGUUAUUUAUAAAAAAAAUAACUUUUUUGUUUAUUUUAUUAAAUUAACAAUUAUUAUAAUAUAUUUGACCUUAUAAAUAAUAAUAUUUUAUAAUUUAAAUAAUAAAAGAUACUUUAGGGAUAACAGCGUAAUUUAAAAAUAGAGAUGAAAUCAAAUUUUAAGUUUGCGACCUCGAUGUUGAAUUUAGAUAUCCUUCAAUUGUAGAAGAUUGAAAAGGUUAGAUUGUUCAUCUAUUAAAAUCUUACAU